GGGAGUUUGGUCUAGUGGUAUGAUUCUCGCUUAGGGUGCGAGAGGUCAUGGGUUCAAGUCCCGCAACUCCCC
rnacentral:tRNA from 1 species